GACAGAGGUGCCGAGCGUUAGGCGGAAUCACUGGGCUUAAAGCGUGUGUAGGCGGGUCGUUAAGUGCCUUGUGAAAUCCCACAGCUCACCUGUGGAACUGCUUGGCAUACUGGCGGUCUUGAGCCACUUAGGGGCAACCGGAACAAACGGUGGAGCGGUGAAAUGCGUAGAUAUCGUUUGGAACGCCAAUGGUGAAAACAGGUUGCUGGGAGUGCGCUGACGCUGAGACACGAAAGCCAGGGGAGCGGACGGG
rnacentral:rRNA from 1 species